GCGGUAGUAGUUUAAUGGCAGAAUAGGAGACUGUGGAUCUCUUGGCGCGGGUUCGAUUCCCGUCUACCGCC
rnacentral:tRNA from 1 species